rnacentral:lncRNA from 1 species
CCAGGUGUAGAUUUAAUUCAAUCUGAAUUGUGUAAAAAUUUCUUAGUUAUUUGUACUUUAACAAAAUUAUUUAAUUUAUGUUUUAAAUCUGGUAAAAUUCCAAAUACUUGGAAUAAAGGUAUAAUUAAUCCAAUACCAAAAUGUUCAACUUCUGAUCCUAGAGAUCCAUUGUCAUACAGAGGUAUUACUUUAGCACCAUGUGCAUACAAACUU